GUAGACUUGUACGGCGAGUGACAGGGAAAGCCCAGCGCUGAAUCCUGUGGCCACUGGUCAUUGGGAGCUGUAGCGUAUAGGUGCAGCUGUUCGAUAGCUUUGCUCACCCAAAGUCCCCUUGAGUGGGGCCACUGUCCAUAGAAGGUGCUAGACCUGUACGGGUGGUGAAGCUACCGAUUUGGUUGCUCCUUGGAGUCGAGUUGCCUGGGAUCGCAGCUCAAAGUAGGUGGUAAACCUCAUCUAAGGCUAAAUACGACCACGAGACCGAUAGCAAACAAGUACCGUGAGGGAAAGUUGCAAAGAACUUUGAAGAGAGAGUUCAAGAGGGCGUGAAACCGCUGAGAAGGAAACGGAUAGAGUUGACGAAACUCGGCGGCAUUYACCCGAUCAUCUUGCUGUGCCCCCGUUCUUGACUAYUUUCUUCGGGAAGUGGCAAUUUCGGUGGUUGCGCGGYGUGGUGGUUGGUGUAUUUGCCGUCGGUAUGCGCUGAGAAAUUCGCUGUGGUUUGCUGAUGCCAUCCUAAAGAGGACCAUGCUCGCAUGAGUGUGGAAACCUUUAGUGGUUGAGGCAUGUCCAUGGUGAAUCUGCAUCGCAAGGCAGCGCCCGCUAUGGCGCAACGRCUAUUACGUGGUUGAUGUAACUAUUGGGCGGUCGCAUGCGACUUGCCUAUAGUUGACGUUGGCUCGUUGAUGGUGCGGUUGCGUUGGYGUAAACAUCUCGGUGUGAAAGUCGACCACCUAUCCGACCCGUCUUGAAACACGGACCAAGGAGUUUAGCAUAUGCGCAAGUCAUUGGGUGGUAAACCUAAAGGCGUAAUGAAAGUAAAGAUCGCUUUUUGCGGUUGAUAUGGGAUCCGUGUAGUUUCGRCUAYGCGGCGCACCAUAGCCCCGUCCCGAUUGCAUGCAAUAGGGCGGAGGUAGAGCGCAUACGCUGAGACCCGAAAGAUGGUGAACUAUGCCUGAGCAGGAUGAAGCCAGAGGAAACUCUGGUGGAAGUCCGAAGCGGUUCUGACGUGCAAAUCGAUYGUCUGACUUGGGUAUAGGGGCGAAAGACUAAUCGAACCAUCUAGUAGCUGGUUCCCUCUGAAGUUCCCCCAGGAUAGCUGGAACUCAAUGAACAGUUAUAUUCGGUAAAGCGA
rnacentral:rRNA from 1 species